GAACGAGAAAGUCCCCGCAAGGGGAUGAGUAAAGUGGCGUACGGGUGAGUAACACGUAGCUAACCUACCCUCGAGUGGGGGAUAACCUGGGGAAACCCGGGCUAAUACCGCAUACGAUCCUGAUUGCACAUGCAAUUGGGAGGAGAGGCCCGCAAGGGCCGCUUGAGGAGGGGGCUGCGGCCGAUUAGCUAGUUGGUGAGGUAAUGGCUCACCAAGGCGAUGAUCUGUAUCCGGCCUGAGAGGGCGCACGGACACACUGGAACUGAAACACGGUCCAGACUCCUACGGGAGGCAGCAGUGGGGAAUUUUGCGCAAUGGGGGAAACCCUGACGCAGCAACGCCGCGUGGAGGAUGAAGUCCUUCGGGACGUAAACUCCUUUCGAUCGGGACGAUAAUGAUGGUACCGGAAGAAGAAGCCCCGGCUAACUUCGUGCCAGCAGCCGCGGUAAUACGAGGGGGGCGAGCGUUGUUCGGAAUUAUUGGGCGUAAAGGGUGCGUAGGCGGUUUGGUAAGUCUUCUGUGAAAUCUAUGGGCUCAACUCAUAGACUGCAUGAGAAACUGCCGGGCUGGAGUGUGGGAGAGGUGAGUGGAAUUUCCGGUGUAGCGGUGAAAUGCGUAGAUAUCGGAAGGAACACCUGUGGCGAAAGCGGCUCACUGGACCACAACUGACGCUGAAGCACGAAAGCUAGGGGA
rnacentral:rRNA from 1 species